AGAGUUUGAUCAUGGCUCAGAGUGAACGCUGGCGGCAGGCCUAAUACAUGCAAGUCGAACGGCAGCACGGCAGAGCUUGCUCUGUGGGUGGCGAGUGGCGGACGGGUGAGGAAUACAUGGGAAUCUGCCCAGUCGUGGGGGAUAACGUAGGGAAACUUACGCUAAUACCGCAUGCGCCCUUCGGGGGAAAGCCGGGGGACCUUCGGGCCUGGCGCGAUUGGAUGAGCCCAUGUCGGAUUAGCUAGUUGGCGGGGUAAUGGCCCACCAAGGCGACGAUCCGUAGCUGGUCUGAGAGGAUGAUCAGCCACACUGGAACUGAGACACGGUCCAGACUCCUACGGGAGGCAGCAGUAGGGAAUAUUGGACAAUGGGCGCAAGCCUGAUCCAGCCAUGCCGCGUGAGUGAAGAAGGCCCUCGGGUUGUAAAGCUCUUUUGUCCGGAAAGAAAAGCGCCGGGUUAAUACCCUGGUGUCCUGACGGUACCGGAAGAAUAAGCACCGGCUAACUUCGUG
rnacentral:rRNA from 1 species